CGCGUAAUCUGGCAAAUGGCAGACGGUCACGACGGGUAUUUGUAACUUAUAGUGGGUCGU
rnacentral:misc_RNA from 1 species